AUUGAACGCUGGCGGCAGGCCUAACACAUGCAAGUCGAACGGUAGCACAGAGAGCUUGCUCUUGGGUGACGAGUGGCGGACGGGUGAGUAAUGUCUGGGAAACUGCCCAAUGGAGGGGGAUAACUACUGGAAACGGUAGCUAAUACCGCAUAACGUCUUCGGACCAAAGUGGGGGACCUUCGGGCCUCACACCAUCGGAUGUGCCCAGAUGGGAUUAGCGAGUAGGUGGGGUAGUGGCUCACCUAGGCGACGAGCCCUAGCUGGUCUGAGAGGAUGACCAGCCACACUGGAACUGAGACACGGUCCAGACUCCUACGGGAGGCAGCAGUGGGGAAUAUUGCACAAUGGGCGCAAGCCUGAUGCAGCCAUGCCGCGUGUAUGAAGAAGGCCUUCGGGUUGUAAAGUACUUUCAGCGGGGAGGAAGGCGAUGGAGUUAAUAGCUUCAUCGAUUGACGUUACCCGCAGAAGAAGCACCGGCUAACUCCGUGCCAGCCGCCGCAGUAA
rnacentral:rRNA from 1 species